rnacentral:rRNA from 1 species
GGGGGAACCCACUAUCUUUAGUCGGAUAGUAUCCUUACGUGAAUACAUAGCGUAAGGAAGGCAGACCCAGGGAACUGAAACAUCUAAGUACCUGGAGGAAGAGAAAGAAAAAUCGAUUUCCUGAGUAGCGGCGAGCGAAACGGAAAGAGCCCAAACCAAGAAGCUUGCUUCUUGGGGUUGUAGGACACUCUAUACGGAGUUACAAAAGAAAGUUAUAAAUGAAGCGGUCUGGAAAGGCCCGCCAAAGACGGUAACAGCCCGGUAGUUGAAAUGGCUUUCCCUCCAGAGUGGAUCCUGAGUACGGCGGAACACGUGAAAUUCCGUCGGAAUCCGGGAGGACCAUCUCCCAAGGCUAAAUACUCCCUAGUGACCGAUAGUGAACCAGUACCGUGAGGGAAAGGUGAAAAGCACCCCGGAAGGGGAGUGAAACAGUUCCUGAAACCGUGUGCCUACAAGUAGUUAGAGCCCGUUAAUGGGUGAUAGCGUGCCUUUUGUAGAAUGAACCGGCGAGUUACGAUUUGUUGCAAGGUUAAGCGGAAAAAGCGGAGCCGUAGCGAAAGCGAGUCUGAAUAGGGCGCAUAAGUAACAGGUCGUAGACCCGAAACCAGGUGAUCUACCCAUGUCCAGGAUGAAGGUAAGGUAAUACUUACUGGAGGUCCGAACCCACGCACGUUGAAAAGUGCGGGGAUGAGGUGUGGGUAGCGGAGAAAUUCCAAUCGAACUUGGAGAUAGCUGGUUCUCUCCGAAAUAGCUUUAGGGCUAGCCUCGAGGUAAAGAGUCAUGGAGGUAGAGCACUGUUUGGACUAGGGGCCCUUCUCGGGUUACCGAAUUCAGAUAAACUCCGAAUGCCAUGUACUUAUACUCGGGAGUCAGACUGCGAGUGAUAAGAUCCGUAGUCGAAAGGGAAACAGCCCAGACCACCAGUUAAGGUCCCCAAAUAUAUGUUAAGUGGAAAAGGAUGUGGGGUUGCUUAGACAACCAGGAUGUUGGCUUAGAAGCAGCCACCAUUGAAAGAGUGCGUAAUAGCUCACUGGUCGAGUGACCCCGCGCCGAAAAUGUACCGGGGCUAAACAUAUUA